UACAGAGGGUGCAAGCGUUGUUCGGAAUUAUUGGGCGUAAAGGGAGUGUAGGCGGUUGGAUAAGUCUUCUGUGAAAUCUACGGGCUAAACCUGUAACGUGCAGAAGAUACUGUUCGGCUUGAGUGUCGGAGAGGAUAGUGGAAUUCCCGGUGUAGAGGUGAAAUUCGUAGAGAUCGGGAGGAACACCAGUGGCGAAGGCGACUGUCUGGCUGACAACUGACGCUGAGACUCGAAAGCAUGGGGAGCAAACAGG
rnacentral:rRNA from 1 species